GGUGCUACUGGAUUGUUAUUAGCGGAUCGAAUGCGAAUUCGGGCCUAAAGUUGGGCGUGUACGGGCCAUGGCCCAUGGCUUGCAGCCUUAUUGUAGGAUGUAGAAGGGCUGAAUCUCUCCACUAAACAUCUAAAGCUUAAAUACAAGCAUAAUAUUUACUUACUAGCACUACUAGUAUCUCCAUGUAAGCAUACCACAUCAACCCAUCGAACAUAUAAAGCUCAACAUUUAAACAUAUAGUAAUUAUGCCUAUAAAUUAUUUUAUUCUAAAACUAAACAAACACAUGCUAAAUCAUCAUUAUCAAAUCAUUGUUAUAAUAUUUCAAUCUAAAUCAUGUUAUCAUUUCUCCAAUAUGUAACAUAUAUCCGUAGCAAAAGCACGGGACAUCAUCUAGUUAUUAUUUGCAUGUGUGUGAGGGUUUGAAUUGCUCCUAUAAAAAAAGUGUUGAAUUGUAGUGGCUAAUGUUUGAGAAGUACAAGUAUGCAGGAAUACUAGCCAAUAGCCAGUUAGUCGCGUGACUUUGGACGCCUACAAAAAAGUGGGAGGGAGGGAGAGGGAGAGGUGAGGAAAAAGAUGAGAUGAUGAAAAUGUUGUUGACAUGUGGGUUAUAUCUGCUAACUGAAUAAGUCAGUCGUGAUCAUACUGUUACAUCAACAAAAAUCAUUUUCUAAAACAUUGCAGGAGUAGAUUUACACCGGUUUUUGAACAUGAUGGAGCCGUUAUACUCGAUUUUAUGGUUAAGAGAGUGAUUCAAUCAAGAGAAAGAAAGAGAUGAGAGUUAUAAAACACACUUAUUCCAAAAUACAAUGUUUUGUCGAUUUGAAGCUUAGAUGGGUUUGUACAGGCCAUAUGCCCCUGCCCUUCUUUUUGUGUGUGUGUGUGAGAGAGAGAGAGUAAGUGUUAAUUAUUGAUGGGCGAUGGGCUGAUGUUUUUAUGUAUAUGUAUUCAGGAACAUUGCUGAAGAGAGAAAUUGAUACUGUAAUAAUAUAUACUGCUCCCUCCGUCUUAAAAUAUAAGCUUUUUUUUACUUUGACACAGUCUUCGAAAUGUUAUUUUGACAAACAAUGUCUAUAAAAAUAAGAUGUUUUAAAUAAAAAAGAGUUACAUAUAAUGGCAGUUUGUUUAAUGAUAAAUCUACUAACAUCAAUUUUAUAUAAUUGAUUUUUUAUUUUUUUUGUUAAUAGUUAAAUUUAAAAAGGUUUGACUUGGCACUAUGCUAAAAAUAUUUAUAUUUUGGGACGGAGGGAGUAUUUCGCAGAAGUGCAGUGCUGGGCGUUGAUCGUUGACUUUAGACUAUUUUGUGGAGUCAACCGCAACGAAGCUCAUGCCUUACAUUACAUCACAUCGGUAGAAAUAUCGUUAUUCAAAUUACUUGGUGCUGUGUAGUGUACCAAGAGUCUCAUCGGUUAUCCAUAUUCUCUAAUAAGCUAAAAUGACUUAUUAGUAAAUAUAAAAAUUAACAUGUAAAACUUUUAUAUAUUUGUUCGUAGCGACUUAAAAGCCAAUGUUAAAAAGAAAUUACUUUAAAAAUAUUUUAAUUUUAAGUUAAAAAAUUUAAAUUUUGAUUUAUACUUUUACUUAUUAGGCCAACCGAUGAGGCUUGAAGAGUCAAGGAGCAUCUAAGGAAGAGCUCCUAGCAGAAGUAACUUCUCUUAUACGAAUACGAGUAACAAACUGAGCGGUCACCGUUAAAAGAGCAUCCCAGGGAAGCUUUUCUCUUCAUUAAUUUAUUUUCUUUCAACUUAUUUUUUUUCUAACUUGAAAAUAAAUUCCUUCCUCUUGUGUUAUGUGAUCAUGAUUCAUUUCGGUAACACAAAAUUUACUAUAGAACAUCCAAAAAUAGUGUAAUUCACUAUAAGACACCACAAAUACGUGACACUGUCGAUGGUCACUAUAAAAGUUGUCUAAUUGGAUAAGGCGAUAAGCACUUUCUAACUCUGGACUAUCAGUCUACCUCUUUAAAAUUUUAAUAGCAGCACAUCACACUAACCCUAUUUUACACAAUUAAUAUUAUUUGAACUUCUAAAAACUUUUACAAAUUAUAAUAUGUUAUUUGUUCUAAUAUCAGUUAGGCACAUAUUUGUGCUGAUAAUGUUGCAUGUGUUGGACUUAAUGAACAUUAUUUACUCCACGAUGAAACUUUGUAUAUGAAAGGAGAUAAAACAUGGUAUUUGUUUCUAUUAGAAGUAUUGAUGGUUUUUAUGUUCCGAGAAAUAUUGUUUCCAUAUUUGUAUCCAAUCAUAUUCAAUUCUAAUUAUUUAUAUUCAAGAUAACUUGUAUUUAAUUUCGUAUCCGAGUUAUUCGUAUUUAUUUUUAUAUCUAGCUAUAUGAAAAUGAAUAUGAUAUUAUCACUAUCCGUCUGUAUCCGCUGCAGUCUUAGGACAUCCACAAUAUUAUAUGCAAAAUAGUCUUAAGGAAUAAAGCAAUAUUUUUUUCUACCUUUAUGCAUUGGGACAGGAGAAAACAAAGAAUAUUGCUAUGGCCAAACCUAAAAUUAACUCUACAUCAUAAGAAAUAAAAAAUUAGUUCAUGUUUUUUGCAACAUGCAUGGUGCUUUUUCAUUCAUGUUGAGUAGAAUUUUUUUAGGUCCUAGCUUAAGAUCAAGAAAAGAUUAUAUGUAAUAUACAUAUAGUAUGUGUUAUAUACAAAAGAAUAUAAGAAAG
rnacentral:sRNA from 1 species